GACGAACGCUGGCGGCGUGCCUAAUACAUGCAAGUAGAACGCUGAAGGAGGAGCUUGCUCUUCUGGAUGAGUUGCGAACGGGUGAGUAACGCGUAGGUAACCUGCCUGGUAGCGGGGGAUAACUAUUGGAAACGAUAGCUAAUACCGCAUAAUAGUAGAUGUUGCAUGACAUUUGCUUAAAAGGUGCAAUUGCAUCACUACCAGAUGGACCUGCGUUGUAUUAGCUAGUUGGUGAGGUAACGGCUCACCAAGGCGACGAUACAUAGCCGACCUGAGAGGGUGAUCGGCCACACUGGGACUGAGACACGGCCCAGACUCCUACGGGAGGCAGCAGUAGGGAAUCUUCGGCAAUGGACGGAAGUCUGACCGAGCAACGCCGCGUGAGUGAAGAAGGUUUUCGGAUCGUAAAGCUCUGUUGUAAGAGAAGAACG
rnacentral:rRNA from 1 species